UCUGCAAGUAGAAAACUUGUCAAAAUGCCCUCUGAGGUCUCCGGUUACUCCGGGGAUCCAGUUUCCAUAGCAACAGAACCUCCUCCCGACCAGCGUUCUGUUAGUGUCCGCAUGGGGAGCUGGAAAAAGAGUUCUGCAUGGAUCGGUGGCUGCCCCGGAGAGACAGUCCCAACUCCAGUACCUUGUUUGGUCAGGUUAGAUUGGGAGAUGACACACUAAUUUAAUUUCCUUGUGUAGAAAAUAAGUGAAUGAAGGACCAGAAGAGAUGACAGAAUACAAAGGUGUAGUACAGUUCAGCUCUCAUAACUAUACCAACUAAAGCCAAGGAAGAACACUAGAAGUUGAAGGUCUCAGGAGGUAUAAUGAUGGGGAAACCCAAGGAAGAACCACCUAGUCCAAGACUGAAUUCAUCCACUUGAAGAAUCACCGUCACAGGGACCAUGAUGAAGCCUACAAUUCUGCUGCUGUAGCCCAGGAUUCAAGAUCCUAGAUUUAGCCUAUUUUGGAGUAGGCAGAAAGGGGACUAGAAAAUAAAGGGGUUGGACUUGA